rnacentral:tRNA from 1 species
AAUUAAUGAGCUUGUAUAAAAAGCAUUUGUUUUGAAAACUUAAGAAAGAAUAUUUCUAUUAAUUU